CAGCAGCCGCGGUAAUACCGGCGGCCCGAGUGGCGGCCACUAUUAUUGGGCUUAAAGCGUCCGUAGCCGGGUUGGUUAGUCUCCCGGGAAAUCUGGCCGCUUAACGGUCAGAAUUCCGGGAGAUACUGCCAGCCUAGGGACCGGGAGAGGCCGAGGGUAUUCCCGGAGUAGGGGCGAAAUCCUAUAAUCCCGGGAGGACCACCUUCGGCGAAGGCGCUCGGCUCGAACGGGUCCGACGGUGAGGGACGAAGGCCAGGGGAGCAAACCGGAUUAGAUGCCCGGGUAGUCCUGGCUGUAAACGAUGCGGACUUUGUGUCGGACAAGCUAUGAGCUUGUCCGGUGCCGGAGGGAAACCGUUAAGUCCGCCGCCUGGGGAGUACGGCCGCAAGGCUGAAACUUAAAGGAAUUGGCGGG
rnacentral:rRNA from 1 species